ACGCUCGACACCUACGGGGAGGCAGCACGGUGGGGAAUAUUGCACAAUGGGGGAAACCCUGAUGCAGCGACGCCGCGUGGAGGAAGAAGGUCUUCGGAUUGUAAACUCCUGUUGUUGGGGAAAAAGAGGAUGGUACCCAACAAGGAAGUGACGGCUAACUACGUGCCGNGNCGCCGAGUAUCAGNGGCGUCGNGACGAG
rnacentral:rRNA from 1 species